CUGGAAGUUAUCCCAGAGUCUGGCAGCCAUUGCUGGGCCACAGAAUAACAACAUGUAGAAAGUGCUAAUAGUUCCUCCAAGGAGAGGGAACAUAACAUUGGACAGAGACUCUGGUGUUCAAAUCAGGUCAGAACAACAUGGAUUCAAGCCCCAAUCUGAUGUUUCCCAGUCAAAUUGAACUGAGGAUACGAAUCACAUUGUUCUCUCCUACCUCCACUAUGGGACAAUAUGGAGAAGACAAGCAGGGAAAGACCUUUCUAGAAUCCAGUCACUAUAAAAAUAGGCAGAUUAAACCAUUUGAAAAAUGAAACAUUUAAUCAAGUCAUCUGCUUCAUAGGAAACAUGGUAUCAAAUACCCUGUUCUGAUUCAUUCUGUUCCAGAGAGAAAUAAAAAUUAUUUACGUGUUUUAUUCA